rnacentral:rRNA from 1 species
UACGUAGGCAGCGAGCGUUGUUCGGAGUUACUGGGCGUAAAGCGUGCGUAGGCGGUGGUCCAAGUCUGGUGUGAAAUCUCCCGGCUUAACUGGGAGGGUGCGCCGGAAACUGGGCUGCUGGAGUGCGGGAGAGGUAAGCGGAAUUCCCGGUGUAGCGGUGAAAUGCGUAGAUAUCGGGAGGAACCCCUGUGGUGUAGACGGCUUACUGGACCGCCACUGACGCUGAGGCACGAAAGCGUGGGGAGCAAACAGG